CUCUCCAGUAAGCUUCUGAGAUCUGCACUGAGUGAGAUAAACAUCAGGUGGAUAUAUGUACUCAAGAGUCCCUUGACCAAUGAAUGGAGCUGAAACGUAAGAAUUUCCCAAUUCAGAGCUGGGAGAGUGCCUAACUACAUUGGAAGAGAUCCACUUUUACAAGAAGAGUGCAGUCACAUUGCCACUCAAAAACUUGUGUGCUGGAGAGAGAUUCUGCAACCUUAUGGAAUAUAAGUGGGAUCUCCCUAAGCGUAAGUGAUCAGAGGAUACCCGGAUAAAGUCUUUUCCCACCUGAAAAGCUACUCUUGUUCCUGUCAUUCUUUCUUAUAUAUAUGAUUCCAAGCCCCCACCAUGCGGUCCUCCGAGGUCUCCUGCUCAUUGCUGGCACAUCCGGCCAUCCUUCUUGGGCUUCUGCUUGUGCGGUCCGGUGAAGGACAGUCCCGUGAAGCUUUUGUUUGGAAGCACAUUGAUUACCCCAAAAGCUACCCAACCUCCCACCCUGACACCUACUGCACGCUGAUGAUGAUGCAGAAAGGGAUGACUCGAUAUGUUUGCAAAGAGACAAGUACCUUCAUCAACGACUUCCCCAUAAGUGUCGUGCAAGUGUGCAGAGGGAGAGGGACUCCUUCAAGUAACUAUUUUGACAGCACAGACUCCUUCGAUAUGGUCAUCUGCAGAUACACAGGUGGCCCACCGCCUUAUAACUGCAGGUACAGUGGAAACCCUGCACACUUGCGCAUUCGCGUGACCUGCACCGGCAACCACCCUACUCACUAUGUGACUCAAAGGACAUAGGCAAAUGGGGAAGCAACUCACCCUCCAUCUGCUAAAGUUAGAAGCUGUUGGACAUGUUGGCCCAAACUCGGUUCUAUUAUCCUGCAUGCUUUCUCCUUGGUGUAUCUCUGUAACAUAUCCACAAUACAAACUUAUCCUGCUC